rnacentral:tRNA from 1 species
GUUCCCGUCGUCUAACGGAUAGGGCAUGACGCUUCUAACGUCACCGUGCGGGUUCGAUUCCUGCCGGGACCA